AUAUAAAUAAAAUUAGUUAAAUAAUAAAAUUACAAUUUUUAAGACAACUAUUAAAUAAAAAACAGUUUUUGAUUAGUUUAUCUAUGACCAUUGAUUACCUUUAAUCCAAUGGUUAUAACACAAUCUUCUGUUAAUCUUUUUUUUUUUUUUCAUUGGCCAACUAAUUAAACAAAGCGAAAAAUUUCUUAUUGGUUAAAACAAGUGGUGAGGAUAGCUACUAUAUUUGAUCUCCACCGUUGAUAUAUUCAAUCUAACGGACAAAAAUGAUUCACUUUAAUUUUAUUUUUUUGGCAUUAUCUUUUUCAUUUCUUCUCACAAUCUCUCGUCUUCUCAUCUCUCUCACCAAUCUCUUCAAUCUUCUUGCUCACUGAUAACUCAUCAGAAAUCCUCCUCUCUCAUUCAUAUUCUCCCAUCAUCUCUGCAGUCCUCCUCUCUCAUCGCCUAUUCAAUCCUCAUCUCAGGAUUUCUCAAACUCGCCACCUCUGCUCAAGUCAGGAAGCCACCAUUACCAUGACCUCGCCUCCUCCUCCUUGAUCUUGAAUACUGAUGAAAGGGAUGCGCGCCAGAGGAGAAUUUUGACAUAGCGGAGAUGUGUCGGAGGUGUUACGAACCAGAGGUGGAGGCGGAGGCAGAUGCGGUUCAGAACAAGAUGGCGGAGGCACGAAGCUGUUGAAGACGACGGUGUUUAGAAGAUUGGUUUAGUUAGGUUUAUUAGGUUUAGUUAGUAAAUAGGGUUAUGUUUAAGCUUAGUUUAAGUUUUUGGUUUAGUUUUGGUUUAAGACCUUUUCUUCUACCUAGAUUCUUUUUUUUUUAAUUUGUAUACCAUAUAUUUUUUGUAAAACAGUUUGAUUAUAAAUCAGUUUAAAUAAUAAAAAAAAUUUAAAUA